UUUGACCUCGGAUCAGGUAGGGAUACCCGCUGAACUUAAGCAUAUCAAUAAGCGGAGGAAAAGAAACCAACAGGGAUUACCUCA
rnacentral:rRNA from 1 species